rnacentral:rRNA from 1 species
UAGUUUGAUUAUGGCUCAGGAUGAACGCUGGCGGCGUGCCUAACACAUGCAAGUCGAGCGAUUUACUUCGGUAAAGAGCGGCGGACGGGUGAGUAACGCGUGGGUAACCUGCCCUGUACACACGGAUAACAUACCGAAAGGUAUGCUAAUACGAGAUAAAAUACUUUUAUCGCAUGGUAGAAGUAUCAAAGCUUUUGCGGUACAGGAUGGACCCGCGUCUGAUUAGCUAGUUGGUAAGGUAACGGCUUACCAAGGCGACGAUCAGUAGCCGACCUGAGAGGGUGAUCGGCCACAUUGGAACUGAGACACGGUCCAAACUCCUACGGGAGGCAGCAGUGGGGAAUAUUGCACAAUGGGCGAAAGCCUGAUGCAGCAACGCCGCGUGAGCGAUGAAGGCCUUCGGGUCGUAAAGCUCUGUCCUCAAGGAAGAUAAUGACGGUACUUGAGGAGGAAGCCCCGGCUAACUACGUGCCAGCAGCCGCGGUAAUACGUAGGGGGCUAGCGUUAUCCGGAAUUACUGGGCGUAAAGGGUGCGUAGGUGGUUUCUUAAGUCAGAGGUGAAAGGCUACGGCUCAACCGUAGUAAGCCUUUGAAACUGGGGAACUUGAGUGCAGGAGAGGAGAGUGGAAUUCCUAGUGUAGCGGUGAAAUGCGUAGAUAUUAGGAGGAACACCAGUUGCGAAGGCGGCUCUCUGGACUGUAACUGACACUGAGGCACGAAAGCGUGGGGAGCAAACAGGAUUAGAUACCCUGGUAGUCCACGCCGUAAACGAUGAGUACUAGCUGUCGGAGGUUACCCCCUUCGGUGGCGCAGCUAACGCAUUAAGUACUCCGCCUGGGAAGUACGCUCGCAAGAGUGAAACUCAAAGGAAUUGACGGGGACCCGCACAAGUAGCGGAGCAUGUGGUUUAAUUCGAAGCAACGCGAAGAACCUUACCUAAGCUUGACAUCCUUUUGACCGAUGCCUAAUCGCAUCUUUCCCUUCGGGGACAGAAGUGACAGGUGGUGCAUGGUUGUCGUCAGCUCGUGUCGUGAGAUGUUGGGUUAAGUCCCGCAACAAGCGCAACCCUUGCCUUUAGUUGCCAGCAUUAAGUUGGGCACUCUAGAGGGACUGCCAGGGAUAACCUGGAGGAAGGUGGGGAUGACGUCAAAUCAUCAUGCCCCUUAUGCUUAGGGCUACACACGUGCUACAAUGGGUGGUACAGAGGGCAGCCAAGUCGUGAGGCGGAGCUAAUCCCUUAAGGCCAUUCUCAGUUCGGAUUGUAGGCUGAAACUCGCCUACAUGAAGCUGGAGUUACUAGUAAUCGCAGAUCAGAAUGCUGCGGUGAAUGCGUUCCCGGGUCUUGUACACACCGCCCGUCACACCACGGAAGUUGGGGGCGCCCGAAGCCACUUAGCUAACCCUUUUGGGAAGCGAGUGUCGAAGGUGAAAUCAAUAACUGGGGUGAAGUCGUAACAAGGUAUCC